UACGUAGGGUGCGAGCGUUAAUCGGAAUUACUGGGCGUAAAGCGUGCGCAGGCGGUUCGUUGUGUCGGCGGUGAAAGCCCCGGGCUUAACCUGGGAAUGGCCGUCGAAACUGGCGAACUGGAGUGUGGCAGAGGGGGGUGGAAUUCCGCGUGUAGCGGUGAAAUGCGUAGAGAUGUGGAGGAACACCAAUGGCGAAGGCAGCCUUCUGGGCCAACACUGACGCUCAUGCACGAAAGCGUGGGGAGCAAACAGG
rnacentral:rRNA from 1 species